UAAACUAGGAUUAGAUACCCUAUUAUUUUAAAUGUAAAUUUAUAAUACUAAAUUAGUAUAAGUUAUGUUCUUGAAAAUUAAAAAAUUUGGCGGUGUUUUAGUCUUUUCAGAGGAACCUGUCCUGUAAUUGAUAAUCCACGAUUAGAUAAACUUUAUUUAUUAGUUUACAUAUCGUCGUAGUUUGAAUAUUUUAAUAGAAAUUGAAUAUUCUAAAUUUUAUAUUAAAAAAUAAAUCAGAUCAAGGUGUAGUUUAUAAUAAAGGAGAGAUGGGUUACAUUAAAUUUAUUUUAGGAUAAUUUUUUUUAAAAAAAUUAGAAUUUGGAUUUGAGAGUAAUUUUAUAUAUUUAUAUAAAAUGAUUAUAGCUCUAAAAUAUGCACACAUCGCCCGUCGCUCUUAA
rnacentral:rRNA from 1 species